GGUGUGAUCAUAGCUCACUGUAGCCUCAAACCUCUGGGCUGAAGCCAUUCUUCCGCCUCAGCUUCCCAAGUAGCUGGGACCAUAGGCGUGUGGCACUGUACCUGGCACUGUCUGAAUGCAUGCAGCUGCGUAGCAUUGUGGUAAGAACACCUGCUCUGACAUCACACCGACCUGCAUCCACAUCCCAGCUGAGCCUCGGUUCUCACAUCUGCAAAAUGGGGAGAACAACAGCUGCAGCGUCCUGAGGCUGGGGAUUGGGCAAAUAAAAGAUGAGAAGACCCAGCUGGGCCUAACGCAAACUUUGCCUCCGAAGCAAAUGGCUUUUGGUUCCCAUCCAGGAGCCCCAGCCAUGAACGUGCCUAUUGGAAAAGUAAUGACAACCUGGAGGCUGCCACGGUGGGACGGGCACCACUUGUGUCUGCUUAAAAAAGAUAAAGACGGCCUGGCACAGCGGUUCACACCUGUAAUCCCAAGACUUUGAGAGGCUGAGGUGGGAGGAUUGCUUGAGGCCAGGAAUUUGAGA